rnacentral:lncRNA from 1 species
GCACCAGGGCAAAUGAGGCCUGGGAAACUCAGGAAGAAGUUGCUAGAGCCAAAAGUGCCUCCAUCCAUUCCUCCUCCAUCCAUCCAUCAUCCAUCAUCCAUCAUCCAUCAUCCAUCCAUCAUCCAUCAUCCAUCCAUCCAUCAUCCAUCAUCCAUCAUCCAUCCAUCANCCAUCCAUCAUCCAUCCAUCAUCCAUCAUCCAUCAUCCAUCAUCCAUCCAUCAUCCAUCCAUCAUCCAUCCAUCAUCCAUCCAUCAUCCAUCCAUCAUCAUCCAUCCAUCCAUCUGUCCUUCCAGAGUGACAUUCCCAGGAGAGGAUCAGCACAGUGAGCUGGAGCAAGGAAGUGUUUUCAAGGAGGGUCCUUGCCAG